AUUGCAAAAUGGGCGAAAGCCCGAUGCAGCAACGCCGCGUGGGCGAUGAAGGCCUUCGGGUCGUAAAGCCCUUUUUGAGGGGAUGAGGAAGGACAGUACCCUCAGAAUAAGCCUCGGCUAACUACGUGACAGCAGCCGCGGUAAAACGUAGGAGGCGAGCGUUAUCCGGAUUUACUGGGCGUAAAGCGCGUGCAGGCGGAUUGGAGAGUUGGAUGUGAAAGUUCCCGGCUUAACUGGGAGAAGUCGUUCAAUACUUCCAGUCUUGAGUGCAGUAGAGGGACGUGGAAUUCCCGGUGUAGUAGUGAAAUGCGUAGAUAUCCUGAGGAACACCAGUGGCGAAAGCGGCUUCCUGGACUGUAACUGACGCUCAGACGCGAAAGCUAGGGUAGCAAAC
rnacentral:rRNA from 1 species